rfam:Triticum aestivum genome assembly, contig: Triticum_aestivum_CS42_TGACv1_scaffold_499658_6BL
CAAAUACUCCCUCCGUCCAGAAAUACUUGUCAUCAAAAUGGAUAAAAGGAAAUGUAUCUAGACGUAUUUUAGUUUUAGAUACAUCUCUUUUUAUCCAUUUUGAUGACAACUAUUUUUGGACGGAGGGAGUAUUUA